CGGAUAGUCAGUCGAAAGAAUCGGUAACGACGUCGUUUAUUCCACUACUUUUGCAUUCAGUUCCCAAACCCAUAUCUAAUUCAACCAAUGGCGAAACGCAAGAAGAUCAUCUACACAGAUCCGCAUUGAUGAUGCGAUGUCAAUAUUUGUGGCGCUCCAAUAACCGGAAUUCGAAGUGAUUGGACUCACUGCUAUUUACGGCAAUGGCUACACCGCACUCGCCACCGGAAAUGCUUUACUCUUGGUGAAUUGUUGCCUCUCUCUCUAUCAAAAUUUUAGUUUUUGAGAAAUUGUAUGAUUUGAAGAUUGUUCGGUGAUUAUAGUUGUUUCACUAUAUCAAAAGCAUGUGGCAGAAGAGACUUAUGUUUGUAAAAAUUGAGAUUCAAUUAGAGUUUUCCAUCUGGAUUUAGCCGAUAGUCAAUUGUGAAGAAUUUAUUUGCUUAUUGUUUCAUAUCCAUGAGCCUGUUAUAUUGGUUAA